rnacentral:rRNA from 1 species
ACUCCUACGGGAGGCAGCAGUAAGGAAUAUUGGUCAAUGGGCGGAAGCCUGAACCAGCCAUGCCGCGUGCAGGAAGACGGCCCUACGGGUUGUAAACUGCUUUUGUACGGGAAUAAACCUCAGUAUGUAUACUGAGCUGAAUGUACUGUAAGAAUAAGGAUCGGCUAACUCCGUGCCAGCAGCCGCGGUAAUACGGAGGAUCCGAGCGUUAUCCGGAUUUAUUGGGUUUAAAGGGUGCGUAGGCGGCCUUGUAAGUCAGGGGUGAAAGACGGUAGCUUAACUAUCGCAGUGCCUUUGAUACUGCAGGGCUUGAAUGUACUUGAGGUAGGCGGAAUGUGACAAGUAGCGGUGAAAUGCAUAGAUAUGUCACAGAACACCAAUUGCGAAGGCAGCUUACUAAGUAUGAUUGACGCUGAGGCACGAAAGCGUGGGGAUCAAACAGGAUUAGAUACCCUGGUAGUCCACGCCCUAAACGAUGAAUACUCGAUGUUGGCGAUAUACAGUCAGCGUCAAAGCGAAAGCGUUAAGUAUUCCACCUGGGGAGUACGCCCGCAAGGGUGAAACUCAAAUGAAUUGACGGA